rnacentral:rRNA from 1 species
ACCCAGACUCCUACGGGAGGCAGCAGUGGGGAAUAUUGGGCAAUGGGCGCAAGCCUGACCCAGCAACGCCGCGUGAAGGAAGAAGGCUUUCGGGUUGUAAACUUCUUUUAAGAGGGAAGAGUAGAAGACGGUACCUCUUGAAUAAGCCACGGCUAACUACGUGCCAGCAGCCGCGGUAAUACGUAGGUGGCAAGCGUUGUCCGGAUUUACUGGGUGUAAAGGGGGCGCAGACGGCGAUGCAAGCCAGGAGUGAAAGCCCGGGGCCCAACCCCGGGACUGCUCUUGGAACUGCGUGGCUGGAGUGCAGGAGGGGCAGGCGGAAUUCCUGGUGUAGCGGUGAAAUGCGUAGAUAUCAGGAGGAACACCGGUGGCGAAGGCGGCCUGCUGGACUGCAACUGACGUUGAGGCCCGAAAGCGUGGGGAGCAAACAGGAUUAGAUACCCGCGUACG